CUGUGGCUGUAGGAUUAAGAACCCCACUGCCUUUUUGAUUGUCACCUGUAAGCAAUAUGAACUUAUCCAUAGCAGUUCAUAACAGCAUAAUUCAGGUUAGUAGGAAAGAAAGAGUAAGGUCUGCUAGCAACACAGAAUAAAUAACCAUUCAAGUAACAUCUUACCACCUUUGUCAUAUUCUUCCUAUCAGAGGAAAGUCAUAGUUGCAUCCACACUCAAGGGAAGAUGAUUUUACAAGAGCGUGAACACCUGAGGAGGGAACUCAUUGGGCUCCCUUAAAAAUUUCCGCCACAGAGGAGGCAUGGUUUAACAUUCACAGAGUCCUCAAUCUUGGAAAACAAGCAAUCAACAUGGUUUCAUCCAUCACAGCCCAUCUGAUCAUCCCAUCCAUUUCACAACGAUUCUCAGAGGUGGAGAUCCUAGAGGGAGACACUGUCCAAGUAUAAGCACUGGAAUGAGAACACAGUCCUUCAAAAUGUUAUUUAAUAUUGUCCCUGCAAAAAGUAAAUGGCAUCUCUGUCCUUCCAUGAUGAUGAGACAAAAAUAAUAACCCUGUUCAAUUAAGCGUGGACUUCCAAGUCUGUCACAGUUGUAUCAACUCGAUUUGCAACAUACUGAAAAGCAAAUCUGCUUCUGUUCUAUCAGGAUUGGGGCAUUUGAAAAACAAUUUCAAGUUAAGUAUAUGUGCUAUUGGCUUUGGGAUAAAAAUACUAAAAAUUGGGAUGAAUUAUGACUUAAUUUGAAUAUUGUACUGAUUAGCUUGUGUUUGGUAAUUCUUGAUAAGGCUUGUCCCCAUUCCCCUGGUAAUUGAACACUGACUGCAGUAAUCAAGGUAGUCCAAUGUUCAUCCAACAUCAGGCCAGGAAGGAAUGAAGUGCUUGGCAAUAAUGAUGUAUCUUAGAAAGCACAUGCCUUGCAUUGUGGGGGAUAGGCUUG
rnacentral:lncRNA from 1 species